AACAGGUAGAAGCUUGCUUCUAUGCUGACGAGUGGCGGACGGGUGAGUAAUGUAUAGUUAAUCUGCCCUUUAGAGGGGGAUAACAGUUGGAAACGACUGCUAAUACCCCAUACUCCUUUCUACUUAAUGUAGAUUGGGAAAUGUUUUUUCGCUAAAGGAUGAGACUAUAUGGUAUCAGCUAGUUGGUGAGGUAAGAGCUCACCAAGGCAAUGACACCUAGCUGGUCUGAGAGGAUGAUCAGCCACACUGGAACUGAGACACGGUCCAGACUCCUACGGGAGGCAGCAGUGGGGAAUAUUGCACAAUGGAGGAAACUCUGAUGCAGCAACGCCGCGUGGAGGAUGACACAUUUCGGUGCGUAAACUCCUUUUAUAUGGGAAGAUAAUGACGGUACCAUAUGAAUAAGCACCGGCUAACUCC
rnacentral:rRNA from 1 species